ACGAAAGGUGCAAGCGUUAAUCGGAAUUACUGGGCGUAAAGCGCGCGUAGGCGGCUUGGUAAGUUGGAUGUGAAAGCCCCGGGCUCAACCUGGGAACUGCAUCCAAAACUGCCAGGCUAGAGUAUGGUAGAGGAUGGCGGAAUUUCCUGUGUAGCGGUGAAAUGCGUAGAUAUAGGAAGGAACAUCAGUGGCGAAGGCGGCCAUCUGGACCAAUACUGACGCUGAGGUGCGAAAGCGUGGGGAGCAAACAGG
rnacentral:rRNA from 1 species